rnacentral:rRNA from 1 species
UAGGGAAUCUUCGGCAAUGGACGAAAGUCUGACCGAGCAACGCCGCGUGAGUGAAGAAGGUUUUCGGAUCGUAAAACUCUGUUGUUAGAGAAGAACAAGGACGUUAGUAACUGAACGUCCCCUGACGGUAUCUAACCAGAAAGCCACGGCUAACUACGUGCCAGCAGCCGCGGUAAUACGUAGGUGGCAAGCGUUGUCCGGAUUUAUUGGGCGUAAAGCGAGCGCAGGCGGUUUCUUAAGUCUGAUGUGAAAGCCCCCGGCUCAACCGGGGAGGGUCAUUGGAAACUGGGAAACUUGAGUGCAGAAGAGGAGAGUGGAAUUCCAUGUGUAGCGGUGAAAUGCGUAGAUAUAUGGAGGAACACCAGUGGCGAAGGCGGCUCUCUGGACGAAGACUGACGCUCAGGUGCGAAAGCGUGGGGAGCAAACAGG